CGGCCGGUCCCGUUGCCACGGUGACGGUAACUCCUCCGCAGGCGGCGGUUGAAACUGUGAAGACAGAAAGUUUCGUUUUAUCUGCGUUUGACUGACGGCUGAAGAAUGAACGCAGCAGUAACACGGCGGCACACCGGGUCUUUUCUACCAGAACUCAUUACCAAGAACAGCAAACGGAGGAGAAGGAUGAAUGAGCAGAAGGAGUCUCUCCAAUCUGGACCAGAGAAGUCGGCUCAGAUCCUCUCCAGGGCCGAAAUUGCAUGGUUCACAAACAGUCUAAAGCAGAACAUCUGUGUGGAGACGCUUCGAGAAGGCAAUCACAGGUCGUUCUCAGAGAUCUUCUUUCUGCUGCAGUCCGAUCAGGAUCGGAGGGCGGCGGCUGAACCGGGUUCAGCUGUCAGACUUCAGACUCCUCUGGACGAACAACGGGACAAACUGGAGACCAUGAGGCAGCACCUGAGCCGGGCCGAACAGGCUGAAAGGAUCGGUUCCUGGACGGCGGUGUGUGACCAGCGUCUGUUUUUGGGUCUGUACUUCUCGGCUCCAGAGGACCUCUGGGUCAGUUUGCACUUCUUCCACAGCUGUGCAGACAGAGAGAAAGGAGGCCGCUCGAGGCCGGCCACCGAGGCCCGGGCCUGCAUGGCUGAGCUCUACCUGCAGCAAGGCGAGCUGGAUCAGGCGAGGCAGCAGGCGGAGCUGUGCAUCAAGCAGGCGGAGGACGGCGGCUGGCUGGCCCUAAACGGUCGGCCCCUGAGACUUCGGGCCCGCCAAGCAAUGUCGGGGAUCUACAGCCGGCUGGCCGACGCUCCGCUGAACGCCGGAGACUACAGCAAGGCCCUGACGCUGCUCCACAAGGGCUACAUCAUGGCUACUGAGUCUGAGGACAAACACAUUGAAGGAGAGGCCUCCUACCGACUGGGACUGACCUAUCAGAGAGCAGGAGACCAUGACACUGCCAAACAGUUCUUCAACACUUGCAUGCAGAUUUUUGGCACGCUGCAGGAUGCAGACGGACUGGGGAAGUCCUACAACGCUAUGGCCAAGUCUUUAGAGAGUGAGGGAAACAUACAUGAGACCGUCCAGUGUCUGGAGAAGUUAGCCGACAUCGCCCGUAGCAACGGACUACAACACAACCUUGCAGAGGCCUACAUGUAUCUGGGAAAUAUCUACUAUAUGAGGAGUCAGUAUAAGAGAGCUUAUGAGUUCUUCCUGCAGGGUUAUGAAGUUGCCUGUAAACUGGGAGAUGUGGCUCUGCUGCAGAAGACACAGGUGUUGGUGGCCAACGCUCGCGCUCACUCCCUGAUCCUGAAAUACAGCGCUGAUGUGGUGUCGGCCAGUCACACCGCCCUGCGUCGACUGAUUGCCUGGAAAGAGAGCAGAGUCUGUCAGGAAGUCAGUGCAGACUGUACAGACAGUGCUGCUACUGCCUGGCUGUUUAACUUUUUAGGAUCCUCCCCUCCUGUAUGCAUCAGUGACGUUCUUCUUCAUUGCCUUCAGAGCGGGAACAGCACAACAUGACUGAUCCAGUUUGCAUUCUUCACCCUGCAGGAGUUUACAAUGCUGUCCAGUGAUGGACUAUCCUUCAGGACCUGCAAUGUUUUAAUGUGUCUGAUACUGACUUUUGAAGGAGUCUACAAUGCUGUGCAGUGAUGGACUUCAGGACCUGCAGUGUUUUAAUGUGUCUAAUAAAGUCUUUUGAAGUUUGCGUUGCAGAGCAGUCAGAGUUGAUUUGUUCACAUCAACCAAUCGUAGCCCUGGCUGGUGAUGAUGUCAUUCUACCAUGUUACCUUGAUCCUCCAAUCAGUGCCAGUUCUGAGACAGUGGUGUGGACCAGACCUGGUUUAGACCCAAAGUACAUCCAUGUUCACCAUAAUGGACGACUGGUGUACGAAACUCAAAAUCCAUCUUAUUUCCUCCGAACGAGACUGUUUGUGGAUGAACUGCAGAAUGGAAACGUCUCCAUGAAAAUCUUCAAAGUGAAAAUCUCUGAUGCAGGAAAAUACUUUUGCUUCCUUCGAUCAAUGUUGAAGAAAGCUUCCAUCCAACUCACUGUUGGUGUCGUCUCCACUCCCAUCAUAGAGAUUGUCUCCAAUAACAACAGCAGUAAGGUUUUACAGUGUGAGUCUAAAGGCUGGUAUCCAGAGCCUGAGGUGGUCUGGCUGGACGGUGAGGGAAACCUCCUCUCUGCUGGACCUACAGAGACAGUCAGAGGUCCUGAUGACCUCUAUACUGUCAGCAGCAGAGUGACUGUGGAGAAGAGACACAGCAACAACUUCACCUGUAGAGUCCAACAGAAGGACAUCAACCAGACCAGAGAGACACACAUCUAUGUUCCAGUUCAGUCUUCUGAUUGGAUUCUGAUCAUCACCAUUAUUCCUGUUUGCAUUAUUGUGCUGUUCAUCAUUAUCAUCCUGACAAUAUGCAUAAAGAGGAUCCAGAAGAAUUAAAUGUAACACUGAAGACAUUUUAAAACACAGAGAGACGCAGCGUUGAACGAUGUGGACUAAAAACCUCCUGUAGUGACCGAGAACGAGGAGGAAAUCAUUGUGACACUGGAGGAUAUUCUCCAUCUUUUCCUGCUCUACCAUCACACUGACAGAGAAUGAUGAUGUUGUUUGUCUUCCUAGUUUACAAUCUAUCCAUUGUGACUUUGUUUUCAGUCUAUGUGAGCAGGUGUUGUCUUUGAGCCAGUGAAAAGGCUGCAGACACACAGUGAAGAAGGGAGAUCUUAAUGAUGUUGGUGUCCAGUCUAAGAUAUGAGCUGUGACUGAAGAUUCCUGCUUUCAUUUCAUGGAUUGUAUCAAAGUUCCCACUUUAGCACUUUAAAAGAAUCUGAACUGUUUUAAAAUGUCAACAGGUUGUGUACAAAAGGCUGUGACUGUGUUUAAUAUUCAUUAUUAUCAUCAUCAUCCAUUCUCAUCUGUUUAAACACAGAACUGUUCACUUUAUAUUAAUUUAACCUUUUAUUGUUUUUAUUGUUUUACUCAAGCUGUAUGAGUUUAUUUUAGUAGAUUAUUUGUAUUUGUGCUGGUUGAGAUUUGUCCUGUAAGGAUCUGUGGAUGUGACAGGAUGCUCCUUUAGUUUCUGGUUUUAGUGACAAUGAAAAUACUGAUCUUGGCAUUAACCUCUGUUCACAUUUUAGUAUUUAUUUCUGCACUUUUCUGUAUUUAUAAUUCAUUAACUGCUGUCUGUAAGUCAAAUUAAAGUGUUACUGUACUCAGCACAACUAUUAAAACCUAUCUAUCAAUA